UGGGGGAUAUUGCACAAUGGGGGAAACCCUGAUGCAGCGACGCCGCGUGAGUGAAGACGGCCUUCGGGUUGUAAAGCUCUGUCAACGGGGACGAUAAUGACGGUACCCGUGGAGGAAGCCACGGCUAACUACGUGCCAGCAGCCGCGGUAACACGUAGGUGGCAAGCGUUGUCCGGAAUUACUGGGUGUAAAGGGAGCGUAGGCGGGGAGCCAAGUUGGAUGUGAAAUACCGCAGCUUAACUGCGGGGCUGCAUCCAAAACUGGUUCUCUUGAGUGAAGUAGAGGCAGGCGGAAUUCCUAGUGUAGCGGUGAAAUGCGUAGAUAUUAGGAGGAACACCAGUGGCGAAGGCGGCCUGCUGGGCUUUAACUGACGCUGAGGCUCGAAAGCGUGGGGAGCAAACA
rnacentral:rRNA from 1 species